UGGAGUUCAGCUGUGCGAUCGUGGCUCACUACAACCUCUGCCUCUGGAGUUCAAGCGAUUCUUCUGCCUCAGCCUCCUGGGUAGCUGGGACUACAAAUAAAACGCUGCCCAUUGUGUACAGAAUCUCCAUCAUAUCACCCAAACAGAAUCUGCCUGACCAUGUGAACAACAAUGAGAAAUUAAAUCUCAGGAUAUUGCUACUUGCUAUGAUUCCCUAGAUAGGACUAAAAUUUUGGCAUUCGACAAUCCCUGCCAGUGAUCUCUCCACCACAGCAUCCUGUGUAUACUAAACUAUGGCACAGGAAGGAAAGAAGAGAAAGAUAGAGGAAGGAAGAAGGGAAGGAAAGAAGGAAGGAAGGAAGGGGAAAAAGAAGGCAAGGAAGAAAGUCGUUUCGUUUGUCAAACAUUUCCUAAGUGAU
rnacentral:lncRNA from 13 species